rnacentral:rRNA from 1 species
GCAAGUCGAGCGGUAGCACAGAGGAACUUGUUUCUUGGGUGACGAGCGGCGGACGGGUGAGUAACGCGUAGGAAUCUACCUAGUAGAGGGGGACAACAUGUGGAAACGCAUGCUAAUACCGCAUACGCCCUAAGGGGGAAAGGAGGGGACUCUUCGGAGCCUUCCGCUAUUAGAUGAGCCUGCGUAAGAUUAGCUAGUUGGUAGGGUAAAGGCCUACCAAGGCGACGAUCUUUAACUGGUCUGAGAGGAUGGCC